rnacentral:rRNA from 1 species
AACGAACGCUGGCGGCAGGCCUAACACAUGCAAGUCGAGCGAGGACUUCGGUUCUAGCGGCGGACGGGUGAGUAACGCGUGGGAAUGUGCCCUUCUCUACGGAAUAGCCCUGGGAAACUGGGAGUAAUACCGUAUACGCCCUUUUGGGGAAAGAUUUAUCGGAGAAGGAUCAGCCCGCGUUGGAUUAGGUAGUUGGUGGGGUAAUGGCCUACCAAGCCGACGAUCCAUAGCUGGGUUGAGAGGAUGAUCAGCCACACUGGGACUGAGACACGGCCCAGACUCCUACGGGAGGCAGCAGUGGGGAAUCUUAGACAAUGGGGGCAACCCUGAUCGAGCCAUGCCGCGUGAGUGAUGAAGGCCUUAGGGUUGUAAAGCUCUUUCAGCUGGGAAGAUAAUGACGGUACCAGCAGAAGAAGCCCCGGCUAACUCCGUG